UACGUAGGGGGCUAGCGUUGUCCGGAAUCCUUGGGCGUAAAGCGCGUGUAGGCGGUCCGGUAAGUCCGCUGUGAAAGUCGAGGGCUCAACCCUCGAAUGCCGGUGGAUACUGUCGGGCUUGAGUACGGGAGAGGCGAGUGGAAUUCCUGGUGUAGCGGUGAAAUGCGCAGAUAUCAGGAGGAACACCGAUUGCGAAGGCAGCUCGCUGGAACGUUACUGACGCUGAGACGCGAAAGCGUGGGGAGCAAACAGG
rnacentral:rRNA from 1 species